rnacentral:rRNA from 1 species
CCUACGGGUCGCACCAGUGGGGAAUAUUGGACAAUGGGCGAAAGCCUGAUCCAGCAAUGCCGCGUGUGUGAAGAAGGUCUUCGGAUUGUAAAGCACUUUCGACGGGGACGAUGAUGACGGUACCCGUAGAAGAAGCCCCGGCUAACUUCGUGCCGGCAGCCGCGGUAAUACGAAGGGGGCUAGCGUUGCUCGGAAUGACUGGGCGUAAAGGGCGCGUAGGCGGUUUUGCAGUCAGAUGUGAAAUCCCCGGGCUUAACCUGGGAACUGCAUUUGAGACGCAUGGACUAGAGGUCGAGAGAGGGUUGUGGAAUUCCCAGUGUAGAGGUGAAAUUCGUAGAUAUUGGGAAGAACACCGGUGGCGAAGGCGGCAACCUGGCUCGAUACUGACGCUGAGGCGCGAAAGCGUGGGGAGCAAACAGGAUUAGAUACCCUCGUAGUC